rnacentral:rRNA from 1 species
GAAUCUUCCACAAUGGACGAAAGUCUGAUGGAGCAACGCCGCGUGAGUGAAGAAGGAUUUCGGUUCGUAAAACUCUGUUGCAAGGGAAGAACAAGUAGCGUAGUAACUGGCGCUACCUUGACGGUACCUUGUUAGAAAGCCACGGCUAACUACGUGCCAGCAGCCGCGGUAAUACGUAGGUGGCAAGCGUUGUCCGGAAUUAUUGGGCGUAAAGCGCGCGCAGGUGGUUCCUUAAGUCUGAUGUGAAAGCCCCCGGCUCAACCCGGGAGGGUCAUUGGAAACUGGGGAACUUGAGUGCAGAAGAGGAUAGUGGAAUUCCAAGUGUAGCGGUGAAAUGCGUAGAGAUUUGGAGGAACACCAGUGGCGAAGGCGACUGUCUGGUCUGUAACUGACACUGAGGCGCGAAAGCGUGGGGAGCAAACAG